UACGGGGGGGGCAAGCGUUGUUCGGAAUUACUGGGCGUAAAGGGCGCGUAGGCGGCCAUCUAAGUCAGACGUGAAAUCCCUCGGCUCAACCGAGGAACUGCGUCUGAUACUGGAAGGCUUGAAUCCGGGAGAGGGAUGUGGAAUUCCAGGUGUAGCGGUGAAAUGCGUAGAUAUCUGGAGGAACACCGGUGGCGAAGGCGGCAUCCUGGACCGGUAU
rnacentral:rRNA from 1 species